UGAUGAGGAAGUUAGGAGAAAAGCGGUAAUGGGAGGAAAAAUGAAGGCCAGAAGGCAGAGAAGAUAUGAACAUCAUCAACCAGGAGAAGGUGGAUGAUGGCCAAGUCAUUGCAAUCAGAUAGACUGGAAUGGAAACUGGCUUCUCCACUCACCAGAUCGGAGGAGAAGAGAACAUGGCCUCCGAUGUCUGUCAUAUGAGGAGGGAAGAUGAGAAUCCUAAUGACCCGAGCACAGCAGGGCUCCAUUUCCACCACAGAAGACAGAACUGUGGGCAAGUGCCAGGCUGUCAGGAAGAGACGUUUCCAGGAGAUUUGUCAUGACUUGACUUCAUUUGAUC